rnacentral:rRNA from 1 species
UACGUAGGGUGCAAGCGUUAAUCGGAAUUACUGGGCGUAAAGCGUGCGCAGGCGGUUUGGUGAGACAGAUGUGAAAUCCCCGGGCUUAACCUGGGAAUUGCAUUUGUGACUGCCCGGCUAGAGUGUGUCAGAGGGGGGUAGAAUUCCACGUGUAGCAGUGAAAUGCGUAGAGAUGUGGAGGAAUACCGAUGGCGAAGGCAGCCCCCUGGGAUAACACUGAGCGCCUGAGGUACGGAAAGCGAUGGGGAG